UCACAAAGCCCCAGACCGAGGUAUUAAGCCGUUUCUCGGCUAACAUUCGGAGAGUGAUGGCCGCCGCUUUCAAAGUCUCCGUCUCUUUGCUCCCCUCGAGCAAAUCUCCUCGCGUCUCUUUCCCUCGCCCCUCCUUCAAGCCUAUCUCUGCCCCCAAAUCCUUCUCUUCCAUGGCUUCUCUCCGUGUCGCCCCGACGGUUGGGAUCUCCGAGACCUUCUCCCGCUUGAGGGAACAAGGAAAAGUUGCAUUUAUACCUUUCUUAACUGCUGGUGAUCCUGAUUUGUCAACAACCUCGCAAGCAUUGAAAGUUCUUGAUUCUUGUGGUUCAGACUUGAUAGAAUUGGGCAUACCCUACUCUGAUCCUUUAGCAGAUGGACCUGUUAUCCAGGCUGCUGCUACACGUGCCCUCGCAAAAGGAACCAACUUUGAUGCAGUUAUAUCCAUGUUAAGGGAGGUUGCACCUCAACUGUCUUGUCCAAUAGCUCUGUUUACAUAUUACAAUCCAAUACUAAAGCGUGGAGUUGAGAAGUUCAUGUCAACAAUAAAAAAUGUUGGUGUACAUGGACUUGUGGUGCCAGAUGUUCCUUUAGAGGAGACUGAAAUUUUAAGGAGUGAAGCUGUUAAACAUAAUAUUGAGUUGGUUCUGCUUACAACACCCACCACUCCAACAGAAAGAAUGAAAGCCAUCGUAGAAGCUUCCGAAGGUUUUGUAUAUCUUGUGAGCUCUGUUGGAGUUACAGGUGCCCGUUCAUCGGUCAGUUCACGAGUGCAAUCUCUCCUACAGGAACUUAAAGAGAUAUUUCAUGGAUUCUUCUGGUCAAGCCACAUGAAUGAUUUAUGGUUGUCUGGUUGGCCAGUAACUUUCCUGUCAGCUAACUGAGGACUCUGUGAUUUGAUAUAGUGGAAUUAAACAGUUGAUGGCAACAACAAAACCUGUUGCAGUUGGCUUUGGCAUAUCAAAACCGGAACAUGUGAAGCAGGUUGCUGGAUGGGGAGCGGAUGGUGUAAUUGUUGGUAGUGCAAUAGUGAAGCUUCUUGGGGAGGCAAAAACCCCUGAAGAAGGACUGAAGGAGCUAGAAGCCUUCACAAAGUCCUUAAAGGCUGCACUCCCUUGAUAAAUGGUUACUUCGGAGGAAUGGUACCAUGCGGAACGUGCCUGCUCUUGGUCUGGAAUGUUGUAAGCAAGAUGACGCAUCGGAGCAUCAAAUUUUAGUGAAAGAUAUGAAUGUUUCCAUUGUGAUGUUCCAAACUAUUGACAAAUUAUUUCCUGCUCUUGGUUUAGAGUGGUCUGGAAACAUGAUGCCCAGCAGCAUCAAAAUUUCAGUGAGGGAUAUGGAUGUUUCCAUUGUGAUGUUCCAAAUUAUUGAUGAAUUCUUUCUCCAAUGUUAAAACUUACAGAUACAAAUAAGGUUGGUCCUGAUGCUCCAGUGUGAGAAGCUCAUGAAUGAGAUAUUCCAUGACCAAGGUUUUCAUCUUCAACCUUUUUAUCCAUAGGAAAGUUAAAUUCCUAGUGCAAGAUGUCAUUAGAUUAACUUAGCUAGUUUUCUAUUGCAACAUUUUUAUUUUUUGGAGAGAGAAUUGACGAGAUAAUUUUGUACAAAAAUAUGCCAUAUUUGCAACACGAGUAAACUACGCCUGCAAGGUUAAAUGAGCA